AUGAACGCUUGCGGCGUGCCUAAUCCCUGCCAGUCGCGCGAACAGACGAGGAGCUUGCUCCUCUGACGUUAGCGGCGGACGGGUGAGUAACACGUGGAUAACCUACCUAUAAGACUGGGAUAACUUCGGGAAACCGGAGCUAAUACCGGAUAAUAUAUUGAACCGCAUGGUUCAAUAGUGAAAGACGGUUUUGCUGUCACUUAUAGAUGGAUCCGCGCCGCAUUAGCUAGUUGGUAAGGUAACGGCUUACCAAGGCAACGAUGCGUAGCCGACCUGAGAGGGUGAUCGGCCACACUGGAACUGAGACACGGUCCAGACUCCUACGGGAGGCAGCAGUAGGGAAUCUUCCGCAAUGGGCGAAAGCCUGACGGAGCAACGCCGCGUGAGUGAUGAAGGUCUUCGGAUCGUAAAACUCUGUUAUUAGGGAAGAACAAAUGUGUAAGUAACUAUGCACGUCUUGACGGUACCUAAUCAGAAAGCCACGGCUAACUACGUG
rnacentral:rRNA from 1 species